UUUUCCUACGGGACGCAGCAGUGGGGAAUAUUGCACAAUGGGGGGAACCCUGAUGCAGCGACGCCGCGUGAGUGAAGAAGUCAUUCGUGAUGUAAAGCUCUAUCAGCAGGGAAGAAAAUGACGGUACCUGACUAAGAAGCCCCGGCUAACUACGUGCCAGCAGCCGCGGUAAUACGUAGGGGGCAAGCGUUAUCCGGAUUUACUGGGUGUAAAGGGAGCGUAGACGGCAGCGCAAGUCCGAAGUGAAAGCCCGGGGCCCAACCCCGGGACUGCUUUGGAAACUGUGAAGAUGGAGGGCGGGAGGG
rnacentral:rRNA from 1 species